UCGAGUUACCGCUCUACAACCCUUUGUGAACAUACCUAACUGUUGCUUCGGCGGGCAGGGGGUCCCCCCGGGGACGCCCUCCCGGCCCCGCCCCCCUACCAGGGGACGUGGCGCCCGCCGGAGGAUACCCAACUCUAUUUUAACGACGUUUCUUCUGAGUGGCAUAAGCAAAUAAUUA
rnacentral:misc_RNA from 1 species